AUGCGUGUCUCUUGUGAGGCCCGCCCAGGUUCUCCACAACCUCUUCAAACCUUAUCCUAUUUCUCCAGCCCCACGUUGUAUUCUAUCUUCUCCCGUUUCCUCACACCGGUUAGCCAUGGAGACGACCUCCCCAACAUGACCACCAUACAUCUCGUGCACCGCGGCCGGUGCUGCUAUGGAGCUUCAACCCACGAAUGUCAACGUUGCGACAAAGCAUCGGGUGUUGUCGCAUGGCGUUGGGGUGGAGCAUCGAGCCGGAGUUGGAGGAGACGAUGUCGCCGUCGUGCUGCGCGGAGGGGCGUCGUCUCUAAUGUCACGAUGGCGGAACUGCGAUGGUACACGCGAUGUUGCGACUCAUGGAUGCCGCAGUGGCAGAAGCUGCAACACAUCAUCCAUGGUGCUGCUCGUCGGCGACAGAGCUACAACGCAACAUCCAUGGUGUUGCUCGUCGGAGAUAGAGGUACAACGCAAACAUCCAUGGUGCUGCUUGCGGCGACAGAGCUGCAACGCAUCAUCCAUGAUGCUUCAGGCCAGCAACAAAAGUUGCAAUGA
rnacentral:rRNA from 1 species